UACGAAGGGGGCUAGCGUUGCUCGGAAUCACUGGGCGUAAAGCGCACGUAGGCGGGUCGUUAAGUCGGGGGUGAAAUCCUGGAGCUCAACUCCAGAACUGCCUUCGAUACUGGCGAUCUUGAGUCUGGGAGAGGUGAGUGGAACUCCGAGUGUAGAGGUGAAAUUCGUAGAUAUUCGGAGGAACACCAGUGGCGAAGGCGGCUCACUGGCCCGGUACUGACGCUGAGGUGCGAAAGCGUGGGGAGCAAACAGG
rnacentral:rRNA from 1 species